UCUGCGUGAGGGCCCGGGUCCGCUUUUUCGAUGGUAGAUUGGACACAUGGCUCUCACGGGUACAGGGAUUAGGGUUCGAUUCUGGAGAAGGAGCCUGAGAACGGCUACUACAUCUUCUUUAUAGGCAGCAGGCGCGUAAAUUAACAAAAUCCUGACUCAGGGAGGUGGUGACAAGAUAUAACAACGCGGUUAUUAUCGCGAUUGUAGUGAGGGUAUUCUAAACAGAACCUAUAGUACGAUUAGAGGGCAAGUCUGGUGCCAGCAGCCGCGGUAAUUCCAGCUCUAAUAGCGUAUAUUAAAGUUGCUGCAGUUAAAAAGCUCGUAGUUGAUUUCAAGGAUUGUAAACCCCCACGGGAAUACAUCCUACUAGUCUUCGGACUGUUACUGUGAGAAAAUUAGAGUGUUUCAAGCAGCUUUCGCAGAUACAUUAGCAUGGAUACGACUGCACCACGACACCAACGACAAUCAAAUUACGAUUAUUAGAGACAGUUGGGGGCAUUAGUAUUUCACUUGUCUUCUGUUGAUAUUCUUGGAUUUGUUAAGACUAACGUAUGCGAAAGCCUCUGCCCACGCAUGUUUCAUUAUCAGGACGAAAGAUAGGGGAUCAAGACAUCGAUACUGUCGUAUCCUAUUUUUUAACUUAUGGCCGACUAGGGAUUGGAGUGGCUCACACCAUUCAGUACCUUAGAAAUCAAGUUUUGGGUUCUUGGGGAAUAUGGUCCAGACUGACUUAAAAUUGACGAGCACCCCGGAGUGACCUGCGCUUAUUGACUCAACGGACUACGUCGACAUAAGAUGCAAUU
rnacentral:rRNA from 1 species